rnacentral:rRNA from 1 species
UAAUACGUAGGUGGCGAGCGUUGUCCGGAAUCAUUGGGCGUAAAGCGCAUGUAGGCGGGAAUAUAAGUCUGUUGUGAAAAUGCGGGGCUCAACCCCGUAUGGCAAUGGAAACUGUAUUUCUUGAGUGCAGGAGAGGAAAGGGGAAUUCCCAGUGUAGCGGUGAAAUGCGUAGAUAUUGGGAGGAACACCAGUGGCGAAGGCGCCUUUCUGGACUGUGUCUGACGCUGAGAUGCGAAAGCCAGGGGAGCAAACGGG